AUUGAACGCUGGCGGCAUGCCUAACACAUGCAAGUCGAACGGGGCAGCAAUGCCUAGUGGCGGACGGGUGAGGAAUACGUAGGAAUCUGCCCUUAAGUGGGGGAUAACCAGGGGAAACCCUGACUAAUACCGCAUGAUCUCUUCGGAGCAAAGAGGGGUACAGCAAGGCCUCUCGCUUCUGGAUGAGCCUACGUCUGAUUAGCUAGUUGGUAGGGUAAAGGCCUACCAAGGCGACGAUCAGUAACUGGUCUGAGAGGAUGAUCAGUCACACCGGAACUGAGACACGGUCCGGACUCCUACGGGAGGCAGCAGUGGGGAAUAUUGGACAAUGGGCGCAAGCCUGAUCCAGCAAUGCCGCGUGUGUGAAGAAGGCCUUCGGGUUGUAAAGCACUUUAGCCUGGAAAGAAAAAACUUUGGUUAACACCCAAAGUCUUGACGGUACCAGGAGAAUAAGCACCGGCUAACUCUGUGCCAGCAGCCGCCGUAACAC
rnacentral:rRNA from 1 species